rnacentral:rRNA from 1 species
CGCCCAAAAGCUAGCCCGCCCCAUCACAACCAACAAAUCACUAUUUAUAAACCCUCACGCACUAAAAAUGCUCAAACAAACCAUUUUACCAUCCUAGUAUGGGAGACAGAAAAGAGCCUACGGCGCUAUAAAGAAAGUACCGCAAGGGACUGCUGAAAGAGAAAUGAAACAACCCAGUAAAGCCUAGAAAAGCAGAGAUUACCCCUCGUACCUUUUGCAUCAUGAUUUAGUUAGUAAAAUUUAAGCAAGACCUAUUUUAGUUUAAAACCCCGAAACUAAGUGAGCUACUCCAAGACAGCCUAUCAACCAGGGCACACCCUUCUCUGUGGCAAAAGAGUGGGAAGAGCUUCGAGUAGCGGUGACAGACCUACCGAACUUAGUUAUAGCUGGUUGCUUGAGAGAUGGAUAGGAGUUCAGCCUUUAGGCUUCUUCCUUCAACUUGGUCUUACCACCACUCGUUGUCCAAGAAACCUAAGGAGUUAGUCAAAGGGGGUACAGCCCCUUUGAAAAAAGACACAACUUUCCCAGGAGGAUAAAAAUCAGAAUAAAUAAGGACAAAUGUUAGGGUGGGCCUAAAAGCAGCCAUCCCUGCGGAAUGCGUUAAAGCUCAGACAUUUAAAUAAACCCUUCGAUCCCGAUAACUUUACCUUAACCCCUACAAUUAUCAAGCCGUCCCAUGCCACCAUGGGAGCGAUCCUGCUAACAUGAGUAAUAAGAGGGCCAAGGCCCUCUCCCAAGCACAAGUGUACAUCGGAACGAACCGCCACCGAAACUUAACGGCCCCAAUGGAAGAGGGCACUGGACAGCAACAGACCACACCAGAAAAGUAUCCAGGAACUAACCGUUAACCCCACACUGGUGUGCCUAAAGGGAAAGGCUAAAAGAAAGAGAAGGAACUCGGCAAACACCUGAAGCCUCGCCUGUUUACCAAAAACAUCGCCUCUUGCAAA